CGGGAAUUAUAAGUGACUUAUAGAGAUAUAUCAUCGGCAUACCCCAGCAGCUGUACACUCUUAUAAAUAAUUGUACCUGCUCGAUUAAGGAUAUAUUAAAUUUAUCACGGUGUUUGUAACAUCCAGAUAGAUACGUCGGAGACGCUAUAAAAUAUGUACAUAUGUACAUAUAUACAUUCAACAAACGUCUCAUUAUUGGUGACGAGAACAUGACAUCGCAUGAACAUGACGUCGCAGCUGUCUGACAAUCUAGCGAACGGCGCGCCAAAAAUUAGUCAAAACCAAAGUUGACUGAGGGCAGUGAAAACCAUCACAGCCGAGGCUUAUAACAUGUGUAUUGAAUUUGGAAGCUUGUAUUGACUCCGAUUUUAAAGGUGAUAAUAAAGAUUUGUAUUGAGAA